GUGCUUACUUCAGCAACACAUAUACUAAAUUUGGAACAAUAGAGUAGAUUAGCCUGGCCCGUGAGCAAAGAUGAUAAAGUUGUGAAGCAUUCCCUAUUUUU
ensembl:snRNA LOC120101196 U6 spliceosomal RNA